CGGAUGGGGUUGAAUCGGACGGCAACGGAGCUUCAUCGGUGGCUGUUUCCGACACUGUUAUUGGUCAGUUUCGGGUUGCUUGUCUGGAGCUGAUUUUGAGAGUGAAAUGCAGCCGGUUUGGAACUAUUUAUGGGCUGGUUCGGGAGUGGAGCGAGGCGGGGCAACAAGGUUCAAGUUGUGAUGGAGUUUGGGUGAUGAAGGUGGCGACGCUGAUCGGCGGAGGUGAGGACCGGAGGUGGUGCCGGCUGCCGCCUCUCUCUCUCCUCUGCCGAAAGGUUUGCUAGGAAAC